GCUGGGCAUGGUGGCGCAUGCCUGUAAUCCCAGCUACUCAGGAGGCUGAGGCAGGAGAAUUGCCUGAACCCAGGAGGUGGAGGUUGUAGUGAGCGGAGAUCGCGCCACUGCACUCUAGCCUGGGUAACAAGAGUGAAACUCCGUGUCAAAAAAAAAAAAAAAAGAAAACAUAACAUGCUAAAACUCCAGGCUGGAGUGCAUGGCGUGAUCUCAGCUCACUUCAACCUCCACCUCCUGGGUUCAAGCCACUCUCCUGUCUCA
rnacentral:SRP_RNA from 1 species